ACCCCUCGGGCCAACCAACCCCGGCACAUCCCGGCCAUGGCCACCAACCCCCUCCCUGCGCUGGCCCUGCUGGCCCUGCUGGCGCUCCCAGGGCUCCGGGCGGCCGUGACCCUGCUGGAGUCCGGGGGGGACCUCCAGCCCCCCGGGGGUUCCCUGCGCCUCCUCUGCCGAGCGUCUGGGUUCGAUUUCGGCAGUCACACCAUGUUCUGGAUCCGCCAGAGGCCCGGGCGGGCGCUGGAGUUCGUGGCCGCCAUCGAGGGCAGCGGUGGCGACAGCAGAUACGCGCCGUCGGUCGAGGGGCGGUUCACGAUCUCCAGGGACAACGGGCAGAGCUCGGUGACGCUGACCAUGAGCAGCCUCAAGGACGAGGAUUCCGGAUCCUAUUUCUGCGCCCGGCGUUUCACCGGGGGCUGGUACAUCAAUGCUGCCUCUGUUGGCGCCGGGUGUGGUGGCGAUGCCGGGCCAGGUCACAAACCCCACCCGCAGCGUCCCCAGCUGGGCCAGGAGGGCGAUGGGGAGACCCCCAGGGGGUCCUCGCUCCUCCGGGUGGGAUUUUGGGAAUUUUGACACGAGCUGGGCGCG